rnacentral:rRNA from 1 species
GAUGAACGCUGGCGGCGUGCCUAAUACAUGCAAGUCGAGCGAACAGACGAGGAGCUUGCUCCUCUGACGUUAGCGGCGGACGGGUGAGUAACACGUGGAUAACCUACCUAUAAGACUGGGAUAACUUCGGGAAACCGGAGCUAAUACCGGAUAACAUGUUGAACCGCAUGGUUCAACAGUGAAAGACGGUCUUGCUGUCACUUAUAGAUGGAUCCGCGCCGCAUUAGCUAGUUGGUAAGGUAACGGCUUACCAAGGCAACGAUGCGUAGCCGACCUGAGAGGGUGAUCGGCCACACUGGAACUGAGACACGGUCCAGACUCCUACGGGAGGCAGCAGUAGGGAAUCUUCCGCAAUGGGCGAAAGCCUGACGGAGCAACGCCGCGUGAGUGAAGAAGGUCUUCGGAUCGUAAAACCCUGUUAUUAGGGAAGAACAAAUGUGUAAGUAACUAUGCACGUCUUGACGGUACCUAAUCAGAAAGCCACGGCUAACUACGUG